UUACUGAGUUUACGCUCUAUAACCCUUUGUGAACAUACCUAUAACUGUUGCUUCGGCGGGCAGGGUCUCCGUGACCCUCCCGGCCUCCCGCCCCCGGGCGGGUCGGCGCCCGCCGGAGGAUAACCAAACUCUGAUUUAACGACGUUUCUUCUGAGUGGUACAAGCAAAUAAUCAAAACUUUUAACAACGGAUCUCUUGGUUCUGGCAUCGAUGAAGAACGCAGCGAAAUGCGAUAAGUAAUGUGAAUUGCAGAAUUCAGUGAAUCAUCGAAUCUUUGAACGCACAUUGCGCCCGCCAGCAUUCUGGCGGGCAUGCCUGUUCGAGCGUCAUUUCAACCCUCAAGCUCUGCUUGGUGUUGGGGCCCUACAGCUGAUGUAGGCCCUCAAAGGUAGUGGCGGACCCUCCCGGAGCCUCCUUUGCGUAGUAACUUUACGUCUCGCACUGGGAUCCGGAGGGACUCUUGCCGUAAAACCCCCCAAUUUUCCAAAGGUUGACCUCGGAUCAGGUAGGAAUACCCGCUGAACUUAAGCAUAUC
rnacentral:rRNA from 1 species